CAAGCGAUAAGCAGGCUGAGCACACACACAGAGUCCUGGAGAAGCAAUUCUCCUGGGCCCAACGCUUGUCAGCUGGGCAAGAACAUACGCCUCCGCUUCCCCCAGCAGCAGUCCCUGGGACAGGAGCACAACUACUGUCUUCAUCGAGGGUGUGGUCACCGGAGCGUGGACAUCAGUAGGUCUUGAUUCAGACCUUUGGUCAGGGAGGACCACCCCUUUUGGGGGAGGACCUCAACCUGCCAGGCCCCUCUACGGCACUAUCAGCGACAUUCACGCCGACGGCUGCAGGGUUACGGCCUCCGCUAGAGCCGUGCUUCACAGACCAGCUACAAUUGAUGAUAUCGCAGGCGGUUCUUCAAGCCAUGGCAUCAUCGGGCCACCAUCAAACGUCACCCAUUCCGGGUCCUUCAUCAGCGUUCACUACCUCAUCACGACCCAUACUGGAUCAUUCCGGCAUGGUCUCACCAUCACACUCUCCUGAUUCCGAUUCUUCCAAUGACUCGGAUUAUGACAACGGUGCAGACCGAUGGUCAGAUUGUGAGGAGCCCACACAAGACUCCCAGCCCAUGGCAGAGCUCUUCAAUAUAUCUUUGUUUCCUUCUUUGCUGCGCAGGGCCUGCGCAGCGGUUAAGCUCACCUCCGAUCCAGUUCCCACCCCACAGGGUUCCAUCGAUCAGGACACAAACCCCUUGUUCGCUGUACCUGUAGUUAAACACCUACGAAUACCCUGUCCCCCCUUGUUCCUGAAGAACAUUCAAGGACAAUGGGAAUCACCGGCAGCUCAGCCAUCCCAAGGAGCGGCUGAGCGUAAGAUUGUAGACGUGGCUCAAAAUCUGACUGAUUUAUUGGAGGUGCCCAAAGUGGAUGAAACUCUAGCCCCACUUUUUUCGACAGCCGGUCUCCCUGCAGAUGUUUCGGAUGCCCUUAAGGCAGAGGAUAAGAAGUCUGAACUAGCGUUGCACAAAUUUCACUUGGCAUCUGCAUGGGCAGCGAAGGCGGCGACCUCCACAUCAUUCUUCGCCAGAAUCUCCCUUACCUGGCUUAGACAGUUACAGGAUAGAAUUCCCCAGGAGGAGGUCAGAAUCCACCAGGAUCUGACCAAACUCAUAGCAACGUCUGAGUAUAUGGCAGAUGUAUCUUUAUACUCUGCCAAACACUCGGCCCGGGCAAUGGCCUCCGGCCUAGUCACUUGGAGGCUGCUCUGGCUUAAGAAUUGGAGGGCCGAGAGCAAACAUAAGUGGCGAGCAGCCACCGCUCCCUUCAAGGGAGGCAGGGUGUUUGGCGAGGCUUUGACUCCGUAUCUCAUUGAGAACAAACAAAAGCAGAAAGUAAUCUCUCAUUUGACAAGGAGGGCCAGCAGACGCUUUCUCCCCUAUGGGCAGCGUCAGUCCUUUCGGGCUGGAGUUCCGGCAGAGACGGGUCAAUCCUACUGGCCUCCAGCACCCAAACCGGAACGUUCCUUUGAUAGGGCAAACUACAGGGACUGGUCCCAGUAUCAGGCCCAGGCCAAGUCUUCCUUUUGUGGCAGAGGGGGUCGUCCCUUCCACUGCACCAAGUGACUCGGGAGGGGCUCCCCCCAUUGGCGGCAGGCUCAGUUUUUUCAUCCGCCAAUGGUAAAACACAACCACAGACUCCUGGGUUCUGUGUACCAUAAAAGAAGGCCUGUGUACCAUAAAAGAAGGCCUGUCCCUGGAGUUCAAAUCCAUGCCCGUAGACUAUUUCGUGUCUUGUCCAGCCAUGAGAAACUCAAUAAAAAGAGGGCUCAUGGAAGACGCCAUUCAACACUUACUCAGUAUCAAGGCCAUAGAGGAGGUCCCCCUGAAUUAGGUGGGAUGAGGGUAUUACUCCAUACUAUUUGUAGUCCCCAAAUCCUCAGGGGGAUGGAGAGCUAUCCUCGACCUCAAGGGUCUGAACCUCCAUCUUCAGUACCGGAAGUUCAAAAUGCAGACGCUCCAUUCAAUCCUGGCCAGAGUCAGGCGAGGAGAUCUCAUGACCUCAAUAGAUCUAACAGAGGCAUAUUUACACAUUCCCCAUUCUCCCAGAGCAUCGCAGGUUUCUGCGAUUCUGUUACCUCAACCACCACUUCCAGUACAGGGCUCUACCAUUCGGCCUCUCCUCCGCCCCCAGGGUUUUCACCAAGAUCCUGGCGGUACUGGCAGCUCAUUUGAGAUUUGUCCUGGUACGCGUCCAGUGUUACCUGGACAACAUAUUGAUCCAAUCUCAUUCAGUCACGUCCACCCAGUUGGAUUUGGCUCUCACUAUCAGGACUCUCCAGAAACACGGGUUCUUGAUAAAUUUCAAAAAGAGCCAGACAUCUCCCUCGAUCCACCUGUUAUACUUGGGCACGGUAAUAGGCACGGACUCUUGCCAUGUGUUCCUGUCAGAGGAACGAUGCAGGAGCAUCAGAGAUCUGGCACUCAGGGUACGCAGGAGCAGGGCAGUUACACUGGCUCUCGUUUCCCAGCUCCUGGGGAAGUUAAUAUCCUGCAUAUUGAUAAUGCCGUGGGCCCGACUACAUGCUAGGCACCUUCAGUGGUUUCUGCUCCCGUACCAGAGACAACACACCAGUACCUCCAACCAGUUAGUGCGCGUCCCUCGUCAGGUGCGUCUUUCGGCUGGUGGACAUCCUCGGCGAUUCUCAAGGGGACCUUUUUCAAGGAGCCUCGUCGUAUCAGUGUGAACACGGACACAAGUCUUUUCAGUUGGGGUGCACACCUCCAAACCCAGAUGGCUCAAGGUCAGUGGUCACGGACAGACCUGAGGCACAGCAUAAAUUGGUUGGAACUCAGAGCGAUCCAUCUGGCUCUCAGACAUUUGCAGACAAUACUCAAGGGGCAACAUGUGGUGGUUCUAACAGACAGCGUGGCUGCAAAAGCUCACGUGAAUUGGCAAGGGGGCACUCGGUCCAGGUCACUUAUGACGGAGGCUCGAGCACUGAGCUGGGCAGAGAGCAGUCUGCUUUCCAUCAAAGCAGAGCACAUCUCGGGAGAGGCAAAUCAUCAGGCAGAUUUCCUCAGCAGGUCGAUAGUAGACCAUUCGGAAUGGAGAUUACACCCGGAUAUCUUCAGGGAGGUCUUUGACAGAUUUGGCCAUCUGAUUGUGGACCUUUUCGCCUCACCAGAGAACACCCAACUGCCCAGAUUCUUUUCUCGCUUCCCCUCUUGGGGCAGAGGGAACGGACGCCCUAUGCAGCCAGUGGCCGCAAAGCCUUUUGUACGCCUUUCCCCCACUCCCUCUGCUUCCAGCAGUUGUCAGGAAGAUCCUGGAGGAGCAGGCGGAGUUAAUUUUUAUUGCACCUCACUGGCCCAGAAGGCCGUGGUUCGCAGACCUAGUGAGCCUCUCUGUCUCAGCUCCGUGGCAGAUCCCCGGCAGUUGCAUACGGUUAACACGGGGAUCUACAACAUCCAGACCCCAAUGGUUACAAUUGACCGCCUGGCACUUGAACGCCACACCCUGACUCAGGAGUCGUACUCAUCAGGGGUGAUUGAUAUGAUCCAAGCUGCCAGGAGACUGGCGACUAAUCAUAUUUACAAUCAUACGUGGAGGAACUUCUGUCCCUGGUGUGACAAAAAUCACAUGAGUCUGUCCCAGGUAAGUAUUCCAAGGGUAUUGGAUUACUUGUUGGAGGGCGUAAACAAGGGGUUGUCAGCCAACACUAUUCGCAGACAGGUAGCGGCUCUGUCCAUGGUGCUCUCCUGGGACGCUUCAGACUCUUUGUCCUAGCACCCUUCAAUACGCUCCUUCCUUAAGGGAGUCACCAAUAGCAGACCUCCCGUGGUUCACAGGUAUCCCUCCUGGGAGCUACCCCGGGUUCUACAGGCAUUAACCUCUUCACCCUUUGAACCCAUUAAGACUUGUUCGUUGCGGUUCCUGUCACUUAAGGUCUCCUUCCUGAUAGCCAUUAUCUCCGCCAGGUGCAUAUCGGAACUGGCCGCUUUAUCCAUCAGGAAGGACCUGUGCACGUUCCACGACAACAGGGUAGUUCUUAGGUUAGAUCCAUCGUUUAUUCCUAAGAUAAACACAGUGUUCCAUAGAUCACAGGAGGUGAUUCUCCCAGACUUCUGUCCCCGCCCAUCACAUGAUUUGGAACGACAAUAGCAUUCAUUGGAUGUAAGGAGAGCCUUGCGCUGUUAUAUCAAAUGCACGGCGGCGUUUCGUAAGACUGAAGCCCUGUUUGUAUCCUUUCAGCCUUCAUCUAUGGGCAAAAAGGUAUCCACUUCCACGAUAGAUAGGUGGAUCAGGGCUUGCAUAGCAGGUGCGUACGUAUCACUUGCCCUGCCCAUUCCUAGUCAUGUGAUGGCUCACUCCACCCGCAGUGCUGCCACAUCUGCGGCGUGGGCAACUCAAGCGUCCAUUGAGGAUAUUUGCAGGGUGGCGACAUGGUCCUCGCCUUCACCUUUUAUUAGGCAUUAUGGUUUAGACAAGUUUGCCUCGGCUGAGGCUGCCUUUGGUAGACGAAUUCUCCAACAAGUGGUCACUGCAUCAGGAUCACAGGCCUCAACUGACCCCCUCCCAUAGGGACUUUGAGAGCUUUGGUACAUCCCAUUGGUGGAUUCUUCAGUCAUCAUGCUGGAGAAGGAGCGUUGGCUUACCUGAACGCCUCUUCUCAGCAUGAUGAAGAAUCCACGCCCUCCCUUCUAGAGGUCAGUUAGGUCUGGGCCAGGUGCUUGUGGUUGUUUUUUUCCUUGUACCUGCUCUGAGAGUCAUCACGUCGAACUGUUGUCAUUGGCUAUGCCGUUGAUGAAACUGGGUGGCUCCAGUCAAGGAGGGGCGUGACAACUUGACAACUUAGUCUGAUUGGGCAGGAGGACUGAAAUAACCCAUUGGUGGAUUCUUCAUCAUCAUGCUGAGAAGAGGCAUUCAGGCUAUGGCUCGUGAUGAGAAGAACUAUUACCAGGAUACACCAAAACAAAUAAAGAGGAAGAUCAAUGUGUAUAAACGCUUCUAUCCCGAGGAGUACCAGACAUUCAUUGCAUCUUUACGGCAAGAAAAAAUGGAGCAA